UGGCUGUACCUCACUGUGACAUGAGUUAACCUCAUAUCACAAGAAAUCAUGACCUUGCUCGGUGGAUCUAGAAGAAACCUGUACAAAAUGUUCAAUACAGAAAAAAAAAAUGCAAAUAAAGAGGGGUUUAUUUGUAAUAAGUUUUGUGAUGAUCAUUUAGUUAGUCGUAGGUCACGAAUCAUCGAAUUAUAUAUAAUCACCCAGGGGUGUGGAAAUAUUUGCUGUGGGCACUUGUCCCUGGGCAAGUAAAACUGUAAAGUUCACUUGUCCGGAAAAAAAGUUACUUGCCCUGAUGGUCCCAAUUUAUUGAAGUAUUUCAUUGUAGUUAAUAUAUGAUUCUUAGCACUGUUACAACUGCAUCACAAACAAGUGAAAUCCAUUUGUUUAUUAUGUGUAAAAAUUUAGUAAAGUAGGUCAACAUCUAUGGGACAAAAACCUUACAGCAAAACAACCAAUGAAAUAACAUGUAAAGGUAAUUUUUGCAGCAGUUUUGGAAUAAAAAUUGUAGCCAGUAGGUACAUAUAAUGAUAUACUAGUUUAGAGGACAGUGAGUGAAGAAAUGGAAAUUAAAUAAUGGAUUAACUAUUGACUUUUUUGCUGUUUCUCUCAACUGAUCAACACACUUGUUUUUUUUUUUUUUUGGUUUUUUUUAUAAUUGUAUUGAUGGGCAAUUAAACCGUCCCUUCCAUUUACCACUCUGACAACAAAUAAUGUUGACCUUUGAUCUAUAAAUAUAAAGACAAAAAAAAUAUUUAUUUUCCGAAUUUCCAUCCUAGAUAGCCAGGUGCAAUCUGAUAUUCACGAUGUCUGAAAUUCUCGCUUCCAUAUUUUUUUUUAAUACUCCUUAUCCUCCAUUUGCGUUUUAGGGUUUUUACUCGACUCAUUACUCUUUUUGUCUUGCUUGCCCGGUGUUUUAUAAAGUAUUUAUCAAUCUGAUUCUCGAUACAAAAUCAUAUAAAAUGACAGUUCCGGUACAUGAUGGAUAAAACCUAAUCGACCAUCCUGUGUCAAUGGACAAAACCAAUGCAAUGUUACACAACUCGGGUUCGCAUACUUAUUUUUAUUUAUUUUGUUAAUCUAUCUAUUUUCGGUAUUAUGUAAUAUUUAUCGUCAUGAACCAUUGGUUUCAUUUACAUAAAUUGAACAUCUUUAUAUAUUUUGAACAUGUUGAAAUUAGUUCUAUAUUUCUGUUGGAUUUGAACUUUGUCUUUUAUAUUAUUUUACUUGUCCACGGGCAACCCAGACAAAAAUAAUUACUUGUCCGGUUGUUCAAAUGUACGAGUCGGGCGAGUCGGGCAUAGCAUUUCCACACCCCUGU
rnacentral:lncRNA from 1 species